rnacentral:misc_RNA from 1 species
GAUGAAGAACGUAGCGAAAUGCGAUAAGUAAUGUGAAUUGCAGAAUUCAGUGAAUCAUCGAAUCUUUGAACGCACAUUGCGCCUGCCAGUAUUCUGGCGGGCAUGCCUGUUCGAGCGUCAUUUCAACCAUCAAGCCCCCGGCUUGUGUUGGGGACCUGCGGCUGCCGCAGGCCCUGAAAAGCAGUGGCGGGCUCGCUGUCACACCGAGCGUAGUAGCAUACAUCUCGCUCUGGGCGUGCUGCGGGUUCCGGCCGUUAAACCACCUUCAUAACCCAAGGUUGACCUCGGAUCAGGUAGGAAGACCCGCUGAACUUAAGCAUAUCAAUAAGCGGAGGA